rnacentral:rRNA from 1 species
CCGUGUGCUUACAAGUAGUCAGAGCCCGUUAAUGGGUGAUGGCGUGCCUUUUGUAGAAUGAACCGGCGAGUUACGAUCUGAUGCAAGGUUAAGCAGCAAAUGCGGAGCCGCAGCGAAAGCGAGUCUGAAUAGGGCGUUGAGUAUUUGGUCGUAGACCCGAAACCAGGUGAUCUACCCUUGGUCAGGUUGAAGUUCAGGUAACACUGAAUGGAGGACCGAACCGACUUACGUUGAAAAGUGAGCGGAUGAACUGAGGGUAGCGGAGAAAUUCCAAUCGAACCUGGAGAUAGCUGGUUCUCUCCGAAAUAGCUUUAGGGCUAGCCUCAAGUGAUGAUUGUUGGAGGUAGAGCACUGUUUGGACGAGGGGCCCCUCUCGGGUUACCGAAUUCAGACAAACUCCGAAUGCCAAUCAAUUUAACUUGGGAGUCAGAACGUGGGUGAUAAGGUCCAUGUUCGAAAGGGAAACAGCCCAGACCACCAGCUAAGGUCCCAAAAUAUAUGUUAAGUGGCAAAGGAUGUGGUAUUGCCCAGACAACUAGGAUGUUGGCUUAGAAGCAGCCAUCAUUUAAAGAGUGCGUAAUAGCUCACUAGUCGAGUGACACUGCGCCGAAAAUGUACCGGGGCUAAACAUAUUACCGAAGCUGUGGAUUGUCCGUAAGGACAAUGGUAGGAGAGCGUUCUAAGGGCGUUGAAGCAUGAUCGCAAGGACAUGUGGAGCGCUUAGAAGUGAGAAUGCCGGUGUGAGUAGCGAAAGACGGGUGAGAAUCCCGUCCACCGAUUGACUAAGGUUUCCAGAGGAAGGCUCGUCCGCUCUGGGUUAGU